AUUGAACGCUGGCGGCAUGCUUUACACAUGCAAGUCGAACGGCAGCGGGGGCUUCGGCCCGCCGGCGAGUGGCGAACGGGUGAGUAAUGCAUCGGAACGUGCCCAGUCGUGGGGGAUAACACAUCGAAAGAUGUGCUAAUACCGCAUACGUCCUGAGGGAGAAAGCGGGGGAUCUUCGGACCUCGCGCGAUUGGAGCGGCCGAUGUCGGAUUAGCUAGUUGGUGGGGUAAAAGCCCACCAAGGCGACGAUCCGUAGCGGGUCUGAGAGGAUGAUCAGCCACACUGGGACUGAGACACGGCCCAGACUCCUACGGGAGGCAGCAGUGGGGAAUUUUGGACAAUGGGCGCAAGCCUGAUCCAGCCAUGCCGCGUGAGUGAAGAAGGC
rnacentral:rRNA from 1 species